UACGAAGGGUGCAAGCGUUACUCGGAAUUACUGGGCGUAAAGCGUGCGUAGGUGGUUUUUUAAGUCCGUUGUGAAAGCCCUGGGCUCAACCUGGGAAUGGCAGUGGAUACUGGAAAGCUAGAGUGCGGUAGAGGGUAGUGGAAUUCCCGGUGUAGCAGUGAAAUGCGUAGAGAUGUGGAGGAACACCGAUGGCGAAGGCAGCCCCCUGGGUCAAGACUGACGCUCAUGCACGAAAGCGUGGGGAGCAAACAGG
rnacentral:rRNA from 1 species